GUAGGUGGCAAGCGUUGUCCGGAAUUAUUGGGCGUAAAGCGCGCGCAGGCGGUUCUUUAAGUCUGAUGUGAAAGCCCACGGCUCAACCGUGGAGGGUCAUCGGAAACUGGAGAACUUGAGUACAGAAGAGGAAAGCGGAAUUCCACGUGUAGCGGUGAAAUGCGUAGAGAUGUGGAGGAACACCAGUGGCGAAGGCGGCUUUCUGGUCUGUAACUGACGCUGAGGCGCGAAAGCGUGGGGAGCAAACAGGGAUUAGAUACCCUGGUAGUCCACGCCGUAAACGAUGAGUGCUAAGUGUUAGGGGGUUUCCGCCCCCUUAGUGCUGCAGCUAACGCAUUAAGCACUCCGCCUGGGGAGUACGGCUGCAAGGCUG
rnacentral:rRNA from 1 species